rnacentral:rRNA from 1 species
GAUGAACGCUAGCGACAGGCUUAACACAUGCAAGUCGAGGGGCAGCGCAGGUAGCAAUACCGGGUGGCGACCGGCGCACGGGUGAGUAACGCGUAUGCAACUUGCCUAUCAGAGGGGGAUAACCCGGCGAAAGUCGGACUAAUACCGCAUGAAGCAGGGAUCCCGCAUGGGAAUAUUUGCUAAAGAUUCAUCGCUGAUAGAUAGGCAUGCGUUCCAUUAGGCAGUUGGCGGGGUAACGGCCCACCAAACCGACGAUGGAUAGGGGUUCUGAGAGGAAGGUCCCCCACAUUGGUACUGAGACACGGACCAAACUCCUACGGGAGGCAGCAGUGAGGAAUAUUGGUCAAUGGCCGAGAGGCUGAACCAGCCAAGUCGCGUGAGGGAUGAAGGUUCUAUGGAUCGUAAACCUCUUUUAUAAGGGAAUAAAGUGCGGGACGUGUCCCGUUUUGUAUGUACCUUAUGAAUAAGGAUCGGCUAACUCCGUGCCAGCAGCCGCGGUAAUACGGAGGAUCCGAGCGUUAUCCGGAUUUAUUGGGUUUAAAGGGUGCGUAGGCGGCCUUUUAAGUCAGCGGUGAAAGUCUGUGGCUCAACCAUAGAAUUGCCGUUGAAAUUGGGGGGCUUGAGUAUGUUUGAGGCAGGCGGAAUGCGUGGUGUAGCGGUGAAAUGCAUAGAUAUCACGCAGAACCCCGAUUGCGAAGGCAGCCUGCCAAGCCAUUACUGACGCUGAUGCACGAAAGCGUGGGGAUCAAACAGGAUUAGAUACCCUGGUAGUCCACGCAGUAAACGAUGAUCACUAGCUGUUUGCGAUACACUGUAAGCGGCACAGCGAAAGCGUUAAGUGAUCCACCUGGGGAGUACGCCGGCAACGGUGAAACUCAAAGGAAUUGACGGGGGCCCGCACAAGCGGAGGAACAUGUGGUUUAAUUCGAUGAUACGCGAGGAACCUUACCCGGGUUUGAACGCAUUCGGACCGAGGUGGAAACACCUUUUCUAGCAAUAGCCGUUUGCGAGGUGCUGCAUGGUUGUCGUCAGCUCGUGCCGUGAGGUGUCGGCUUAAGUGCCAUAACGAGCGCAACCCUUGCCACUAGUUACUAACAGGUAAAGCUGAGGACUCUGGUGGGACUGCCAGCGUAAGCUGCGAGGAAGGCGGGGAUGACGUCAAAUCAGCACGGCCCUUACAUCCGGGGCGACACACGUGUUACAAUGGCGUGGACAAAGGGAAGCCACCUGGCGACAGGGAGCGAAUCCCCAAACCACGUCUCAGUUCGGAUCGGAGUCUGCAACCCGACUCCGUGAAGCUGGAUUCGCUAGUAAUCGCGCAUCAGCCGUGGCGCGGUGAAUACGUUCCCGGGCCUUGUACACACCGCCCGUCAAGCCAUGGGAGCCGGGGGUACCUGAAGUCCGUAACCGCGAGGAUCGGCCUAGGGUAAAACUGGUGACUGGGGCUAAGUC